CACGUAGGGUGCGAGCGUUGUCCGGAAUUAUUGGGCGUAAAGAGCUCGUAGGCGGUGUGUCGCGUCGGCCGUGAAAACCUGGGGCUUAACUCUGGGCGUGCGGUCGAUACGGGCAUCACUGGAGUUCGGCAGGGGAGACUGGAAUUCCUGGUGUAGCGGUGAAAUGCGCAGAUAUCAGGAGGAACACCUGUGGCGAAGGCGGGUCUCUGGGCCGAUACUGACGCUGAGGAGCGAAAGCGUGGGGAGCGAACAGG
rnacentral:rRNA from 1 species